rnacentral:lncRNA from 1 species
AUGCCAACAGUAUGUACAUUUGCAAAAAGUAGAACCAACAAUUUGGACGACUACUCUAUCUUCCAGGCGGCGCUGGCGGUUGCGGACGGUGACGGCGCGGCCCUCGGCGAGGACGUGGGGGAGGUAGGCGUUCUCGACAAGUGCGUGGUGGCGGUGGUGGAAGGUGGCGCCGCGGAAGUCGUCGGCGACAACCUCGUGGUCGUCGACGGCGAGGGCCAAGCGGUCGGCACCCUCGGCGAGGUCUUGACGGCCACCUCGCUGCUCGCCGCCACGCCCGGCCACCGUCGUGACUGCCACCGCGCCCGACCGCCGCCUCGCCCCGGCGGCCGCCUCGUCCCGGCGGCCGCCUCGCCCGGCUCGCCCGGUCGCCGCCUCGCCCAGCCGCCGCCUCGUCCCAGCAGCCGCCUUGCCCAGGCCGCCGCCUCGCCUAGGCCGCUGCCGCGCCCUUCCACUGCCUCUACCGACCGCCGCCACCUCGCCCCAGCCGGUUGAGGGAGUUGUU